ACCACCGGACCGCUGGAUGACCAACGCCGAAUGACACACUACCAGAGCCUAUUGCUGACAGAGCGAGUAAGUUUUGCACCCCCAGCCAUUCUCAACCCCGCCUCCUUACUACCUGAGGCUGACGAGGCCCCUACACAUAAGUGUGAAGAAAUACUGGCAAAAGAGACUGGAAUCCGGCCAGACCUCACAGACCAACCUUGGCCAGGGGCGAUGACUUGGUUCACGGACUGAAGCAGCUUUGUAGUAGAAGGGUUCCUAUAAGGUUUUAUCAAGAUGAUCAAAGAAAUCACUUCAUGAUUUUAAGAAGGAGAGAAGCUAUGCUGAAGUAUUACCAUAAGAAGAAUAUUCUAAGCCAGGCCCAAUGGCUUACAGUGGUAAUGGAAGCACCUGAAAAGCUACAGCAAGUGGAUUCUACACCAUGGAGAGAGGCCAGCCAGGCUUACAAACUGAAUAAAAGAACAACGUGGCUUUCACAAUGAAUGCCUGACUCAAAAACAGACAGAGGCAGAUGAUAGCUAAAUGAUUGAUAGAUGAUAGAUAGAUAGAAAGAUAGAUGAUAGAUAGAUGGAUGAAUAGAUGAAUAGAUAGAUGACAGAUGAUAGAUAACGGAGGUAGACAUAUACAUUCAUACAUACAUACAUACAUACAUACAUACAUACAUAUACACACACUCACAAACACACACACACACACACACACACACACACACAGAGAUAUUAAGAGAGUGUCCUACUAAAAUAGAACCAGAAAUUUCAGUGCAUGUGCUUGUCUUCAAGCAGGUUACUUUGUUACAGGCUAGAGUGACAAAAAUAAUAUUGGGAAAACAAGAGUUAAUAUUGUCCUUCAGUCUCAUUCAAGGGAUAAGAUGGAGGGCUAACUUGCUCUGGCUUACUAAAAGCAUGAAGAAUCAGUCAUACAAUUAUGGAGUAUUUUUUCUUUCUCAUUUCAUGCUAUGGUUUUCAUAGUGUUACACAACGUAUCAGUAAAGCUCAACUAAGACAAUUACAAAAUACAGGUUAUAUGUUACCAGUUUCAAAGAAACUCAAAGAAAGAGGGGCUACAAAACUAUGAGUACUGGAUACUACAGAGCUUGAAAACUGUUAUUAUAGUGACCAGUGAGCAUGGCUUGGAGUUUCCCAUAUAAAAAUAGGUGUUAACUCUAAGGACUUUAUAUACAAAUUCUCAUUACAUAACAUUUUAUGUCCUUCUUUCAACAACAUCAAAAGACUAAAAACUUGUAAAAGGUAGGGAAAAGACCAAAA
rnacentral:lncRNA from 1 species